AGUAGGGCGGGACACGUGUUAUCCUGUCUGAAUAUGGGGGGACCAUCCUCCAAGGCUAAAUACUCCUGACUGACCGAUAGUGAACCAGUACCGUGAGGGAAAGGCGAAAAGAACCCCUGUGAGGGGAGUGAAAUAGAACCUGAAACCGUGUACGUACAAGCAGUAGGAGCACCUUCGUGGUGUGACUGCGUACCUUUUGUAUAAUGGGUCAGCGACUUAUAUUCAGUGGCAAGGUUAACCAUCUAGGGGAGCCGUAGGGAAACCGAGUCUUAACUGGGCGCCAUAGUCUCUGGAUAUAGACCCGAAACCGAGUGAUCUAGCCAUGGGCAGGUUGAAGGUUGAGUAACAUCAACUGGAGGACCGAACCGACUAAUGUUGAAAAAUUAGCGGAUGACUUGUGGCUAGGGGUGAAAGGCCAAUCAAACUCGGAGAUAGCUGGUUCUCCCCGAAAGCUAUUUAGGUAGCGCCUCGGACGAAUACUACUGGGGGUAGAGCACUGUUAAGGCUAGGGGGUCAUCCCGACUUACCAACCCUUUGCAAACUCCGAAUACCAGUAAGUACUAUCCGGGAGACACACGGCGGGUGCUAACGUCCGUCGUGGAGAGGGAAACAACCCAGACCGCCAGCUAAGGUCCCAAAUUACAGCUAAGUGGGAAACGAUGUGGGAAGGCUUAGACAGCUAGGAUGUUGGCUUAGAAGCAGCCAUCAUUUAAAGAAAGCGUAAUAGCUCACUAGUCGAGUCGGCCUGCGCGGAAGAUGUAACGGGGCUAAGUUGUAAACCGAAGCUGCGGCAAUGUUCUUUGAACAUUGGGUAGGGGAGCGUUCUGUAAGCCGUUGAAGGUGUGUUGUAAAGCAUGCUGGAGGUAUCAGAAGUGCGAAUGCUGACAUGAGUAACGACAAGGGGGGUGAAAAACCUCCCCGCCGGAAGACCAAGGGUUCCUGUCCAACGUUAAUCGGGGCAGGGUAAGUCGACCCCUAAGGCGAGGCCGAAAGGCGUAGUCGAUGGGAAACGGGUUAAUAUUCCCGUACUUCUUACAAUUGCGAUGGGGGGACGGAGAAGGCUAGGUGGGCCUGGCGACGGUUGUCCAGGUUCAAGUGCGUAGGCU
rnacentral:rRNA from 1 species